GCUGAUGGCUGUGGGUGACAGGAUUAGGCAUGUACAGGAUCAUGGGACAAUAGGACAUGGGGAACUUUUCUUCUCCCCAAAGGGGGAAACUUGAGAGCUGAUGGGACUGCUGGAAAAGAUUCCUUCGCAACCAAGAAGGGGCGGCCUAAACUUUUGAUUCAGUGUGGCUGCAAUGGAGUCAAGGAAACUUUUCUUUUGAGCUACUGACAGCUUAACUCCUGUGAACAAAAUUUGGAGCAUAUUUGUUUCUCUCUGCCUGAUUUCUCCAAAAUUUGGAAACUAUUUCUCUUUUUGCCUAACUCUUCCCAAGAAACCACUCCUUCUGCACACCUCCCUAAAUGGCGAAGCUUAACUUUUCCCAGAGCCCUCCCUGCCUUUCCUCACCUGCCAAGCCCAGUCCCCAGGACCUGCACCCACAGCCAGUCCCAAAAUCCACUCUGAGCUGUUAACAGCAACCAGAGAAGCUCAGAGACAUCAUCCUGUGCCCCGUGGUCAAGACCUAGUGACCUCAGAAUCAUUCUCGCUCUCCUUCUGCUUCUCAGCUGCCAUCUUCAUUUUUGAACUUUUGGGUUCAAACUCAGAAGGAGUCACAGAUCUUAGACUGUGGCUAUGCCAGCCAGCGCCCAGGUGCGGGGAGUGGACCUACAACCCCUUGGAGCAGUGCUGUGAUGACGGUGUCAUCCUAGA
rnacentral:lncRNA from 1 species